rnacentral:rRNA from 1 species
AAUCGUGGUGAAGGAACUCGGCAAAAUACCCCCGUAACUUCGGGAUAAGGGGGACCUGAUACGUGACCAGCCUUGCGUUGUGAGCGUUGAGGGUCGCAGAGACCAGGCCCAAGCGACUGUUUACUAAAAACACAGGUCCGUGCCAACUCGUAAGAGGAUGUAUACGGACUGACUCCUGCCCGGUGCUGGAAGGUUAAGGGGAACUGUCAGCCGCAUUUUGUGUGGUGAAGCGGUGAACUUAAGCCCCAGUAAACGGCGGUGGUAACUAUAACCAUCCUAAGGUAGCGAAAUUCCUUGUCGGGUAAGUUCCGACCUGCACGAAUGGAGUAACGAUUUGGGCGCUGUCUCCACCACGAACCCGGUGAAAUUGCAUUACGAGUAAAGAUGCUCGUUACGCGCAGCAGGACGGAAAGACCCCGGGACCUUUACUACAGUUUGGUAUUGGUGAUCGGUGUGACUUGUGUAGGAUAGGUGGGAGACUUUGAAACCGGGACGCCAGUUCCGGUGGAGUCGUCGUUGAAAUACCACUCUGGUCAUUCUGGUUAUCUAACCUAGGACCGUUAUCCGGUUCAGGGACAGUGCCUGAUGGGUAGUUUGACUGGGGCGGUCGCCUCCUAAAAGGUAACGGAGGCGCCCAAAGGUUCCCUCAGCCUGGUUGGCAAUCAGGUGUUGAGUGUAAGUGCACAAGGGAGCUUGACUGUGAGAGUGGCGACUCGAGCAGGGACGAAAGUCGGGACUAGUGAUCCGGCAGUGGCUUGUGGAAGCGCUGUCGCUCAACGGAUAAAAGGUACCUCGGGGAUAACAGGCUGAUCUUGCCCAAGAGUCCAUAUCGACGGCAUGGUUUGGCACCUCGAUGUCGGCUCGUCGCAUCCUGGGGCUGGAGUAGGUCCCAAGGGUUGGGCUGUUCGCCCAUUAAAGCGGCACGCGAGCUGGGUUUAGAACGUCGUGAGACAGUUCGGUCCCUAUCCGCUGCGCGCGUAGGAGUCUUGAGAAGGGCUGUCCUUAGUACGAGAGGACCGGGACGGACCAACCUCUGGUGUGCCAGUUGUUCCGCCAGGAGCACGGCUGGUUGGCUACGUUGGGAAGUGAUAACCGCUGAAAGCAUCUAAGCGGGAAGCACGCUUCAAGAUGAGGACUCCCACACCGUCAAGGUGGUAAGGCCCCCCGCAGACCACGGGGUUGAUAGGUCGGACGUGGAAGCACAGUAAUGUGUGAAGCUGACCGAUACUAAUAGGCCGAGGGCUUGCCACA